UGUGACAUUUAAUCCUUCGUGCAGUUGGGAAGAACCCCUGAUGUUGUUACUUUUGGUACAAGCUUCACAUCAUAGUUAGUCUAAUCAGUUACGCCACCAUCUUCCCUUGACAAAAUGUAACCACCAAAAACGAGCUAAGCACAUCGCAACAUAUAAGCGACACACAUCAGAAAGUGAACCAAAAAAUCCUCCAAAUUUCGAGAUCACAUCGACCAUUCGUUGCUAUUUGCACACACAUGGGAGUAGUUUACACUUUACAAUGGCAUGCCACCAUGGCGCGUCGGCCAGCCUAAGAUCCAGGCGCAAACUUGGUAGCGAAAACCCAUGCAUUGUUGGCGACAGGGUCGUCGAGGUGGUCGAACAGGUUCUCCAAUGGGCCCUUACCGGUGACGAUAGCUUGGACGAAGAACCCAAACAUAGAGAACAUGGCGAGACGGCCAUUCUUGAUCUCCUUCACCUUAAGCUCAGCGAAGGUGACAGGGUCGUCGGCAAGGCCGAGCGGGUCGAAGUACUGGCCGCCGGGGUAGAGGUC
rnacentral:lncRNA from 1 species